rnacentral:rRNA from 1 species
GACGAACGCUGGCGGCGGGCUUAACACAUGCAAGUCGAACGGAAAGGCCCUGCUUUUGUGGGGUGCUCGAGUGGCGAACGGGUGAGUAACACGUGAGUAACCUGCCCUUGACUUUGGGAUAACUUCAGGAAACUGGGGCUAAUACCGGAUAGGAGCUCCUGCUGCAUGGAGGGGGUUGGAAAGUUUCGGCGGUUGGGGAUGGACUCGCGGCUGAUCAGCUUGUUGGUGGGGUAGUGGCUUACCAAGGCAUUGACGGGUAGCCGGCCUGAGAGGGUGACCGGCCACAUUGGGACUGAGAUACGGCCCAGACUCCUACGGGAGGCAGCAGUGGGGAAUAUUGCACAAUGGGCGGAAGCCUGAUGCAGCAACGCCGCGUGCGGGAUGACGGCCUUCGGGUUGUAAACCGCUUUCGCCUGUGACGAAGCGUGAGUGACGGUAAUGGGUAAAGAAGCACCGGCUAACUACGUG